CAGUAACAUGCAGUUUUGUUACUAUAGCUCUGUAGCAUAAUUUAAAGUUACAUAUUGUGAUGCUUCCAGCAUUGCUUUUUUAAAAAAAUUUGCUUACAACUGUUUUGAGUAUUCUGGAUUUUUUAUUCUUCUAAAUGAAUUUUUGGACAGUUUUUCUAGUUCUCUGAGGAAUAACAUUGGUAUUUUAAUGGGGAUUGCAUUGAAUGUAUGUAGUAUGGCCAUUUUCACAAUGUUCUUAAAAUUAAUUAAUUCUGAUUAUUAUAAUUAGAAUUAUUAUAAUUAAUAUUAAGUCUGCUGAUCCAUGAACAUGGGAGGCCUUUAUACCUUCUGGGGUUUUCUUCAAUCUCUUUCUUCAGUGUUCUAUAGUUUUUUGUAGAGGUCUUUUAAUCCUUGGUUAGAUUUACUCCAAAGCAAUUUUUUGUCUUAGGUUCUUGUGAAUGGAAUUGUUGUCCUGAUUUCUUCUUCAGCCAAUUUAUUAUUGUGUAUAGGAAAUCUAUUGAUUUCUGUACAUUGAUUUUGUAACCUGAUACUUUACCAAUAUGUUUAUUAGCUCUAGCAGUCUUUUGGUGGAAUAUUUUAGAUCUUCUCGAUAUAAGAUCAUACUGUCUGCAAAUAGUAAUAAUUUGACUUAUUUUUUCCCUGUUUUUAUCCCUGGUACUUCUUUCACUUGGUAGGCAACACUUUUUGAGUCCUUCAUGGAAAUGUUGAUGAUGUACAUAGGUCAUCUAUACGAGGACUUGACAUGCUACAUAAUGUUUUUACUUUUAAUAACAUACAAAAUGUAGAAAUUAAUGUUAAAU
rnacentral:lncRNA from 1 species